AGCAAUUAAUGCUAGAAACUGAUAUCCGGAGGAUUCAUAUAGACUAUUACAAACAUUCAUUGGAAAAUAGUUAGCUAUUAGGAAGCACGAAGGAUCUAAAGGUCAGAACCGAUUAUGUACGGUUUGGAUAAAUACGAAUAAUUAACAGAUGUAUUUCAAUACAGAGCGAUCUUAACAGAGAAAGCGUCCUAGUACUAUUUUCAUGAAAGCGAUCUAUUUAAACUAAUGACGACCGACGAUUAUAUACGGGUUGGAUAAAUAAGAAUAAUUAACCGAGAGCGAUCUUAAAAGGGAGAGCAUCCUGGUAUUAUUUUCACGAAAGCAAUCUAUUUAAACUAAUGACAACUGUAAAAUCCACUUGUAAAGAUUUUGAUAGCUAAUCAGAGAUUAUGUUUAUGCUAAGGGUGUCAAGGCUGCUUUAUAACUACUGUUGAAUGUUAUUAAAACUUGGCUCUCCAGAGAAAUAGUUCUGAUUUGUAAACAUUUGGAAAUAAUAACAACACAUUUAUCAUUGAAUAUCUGAAUAAAACUAUAUAUGACCUCACCCGAUGAUCGUGAAACUGUCCCAAGUUGGCGUGGCUUGUAUGUUUAUUGAUAAAAUGUCAAUAAAGAUUGCGGAUGGGAACUAAUACAAAUAACAGCCAAGGACUCAUUACUUAAAUAAGUAUAAAUCCAUUACCGAUAUAAUGUUCAGGGUUAUGAGACAUUUGCUGCUUAUUACAUAUUAUACUUUUGUCAAUGAUUGGUAAUACAGAAUUUCGAUGUAACAGUAAACCAGGACUAGGAGGUUCCAAUUUAGUGUUGAUGAUCACUUAAAGUUUUAUAAAACAACAAAUGAUAUGCUUGAAGUAAUAAUCUAAGUAUGAAGAAGAAACCGAGUAUGUAAAAGUGUUAAUUUAUCCUUUCCGUCAACCAAACACGUGGUGCUACAGUUAUUGGAUAUGUUCAAGAAGAUUAUAUUAAAGGGACGUAAUAAAAUAUGACAAUUGACUAAUUCAUAUUGCAAUCACUAGUCGAGCUUUUACUUGGAAUCAUCAAUAUAUGUUGCAUAAAAAUCGACACUGCUUGCUUUGAUGUCACUUAAAGUAAGUUCAUCUGAAGAAAAAUAAUAUAAAUGUCAGAAAAAUAUAGAUAAGCAUAAAAACUCGCGGGAAAAUAUUGAAAUAUUGACAUAUCAAUCUCAUCAAAUGGUAUGCUGAAAGUUUACAGGUACUUUACUGAGAAUACUGUUUGUUCUUGAACUUACAUUUUGCAUUCAGAAACAAAGUUUUUGCAGAAAACAACUAC
rnacentral:lncRNA from 1 species